rnacentral:tRNA from 1 species
GCCGGUUUGGCUCAGUGGGUAGAGCAUCAGCCUGUGGACUGAAGGAUCCAGGUUUGAUUCCUGUCAAGGGCA